ensembl:lncRNA
UUUCAGAAUGCUUACGAAGUUCUUUCACUGAAACGCAUGUCUGGCAUGUACUGCCAGAAGUUUCCAUACUUUCUACAGCAACCAUCCAUUAAAAAAAAAAAAAAAAACUAACAAACAAAAAAACAUUAAUGUCUCUAUCUGGAUCUAUUGUAGUUCAUCAGACAAUUUCCAUUGCAUGUUUAUUGAUCGUGAGGAAGGUCACAGAAUUGUGCACACCCUGAGAUAAAUCUCAUAGAAGAGAUGUACGCUACACGUCCACUAUAAUCGGAGAAGAAUUUCCAUAAUUGUUUAAUGCAGGGCUGAUGUGACCUGUUAUGAUGGGAAAUGUGACCUACUUCAACAUGGACGAAGGACUGCAAGAGGACGGAGGGCAAUAGAGAUGAAAACAAAAGUCCUGCUAGAAAUCUAAAUCAUUCACUCAAUAAGUGAGACAGCAAGAGAGAGAGAGAGAGAGAGAGAGAGAGAGAGAGAGAGAGCAAAAGAGAGUGCGCUUUGCAGAUGACUCAUACCACGGGUAGUCAUUUGAGCCAUUAUUUCAUCCUCCCCACUGAGACUGAAAUGGACAAAUCUAGUGUUUGUUUUUGAGCUUAUUUCUUCGAAUGUAUCCUGUGUAGAUCAAGUUGAUCUAAGCUUAAGCUCUGCAGGUGGCUGUGGCUGGACUUUAGCUUCUCUGCUGGUUAUCGUUGUUGAAUUUCUAGUUAUCUCCACAGUCCUUUCCAUCAGCGUUCCGAAAGCAUUCUGUGUUUUUUGAGUCCUUCUCCAACAUCAUACUGCGCUUCACUUCUGAGCAUUAGCUGUAGAUGGGCACUCGUGUUUUGUGCAACGAUAGUUAAGUGUCAGAAAGUAGCAUUAGUGAGUUGGAGUCUUUCUCUGUUUGUCAGAUAUCUGUGUAUUUUUCACAGACUCCUAACUGCUAGCUUUUCCUCAGUUUCUGCUCCAAGGUCUCUUAGACCACACCCACUCUGUGUUCAUGUGUGUGGUCAUCUGUGUGCCUCAUUUAAUUAGUACAUAAUAUUUAUUAUAUGCUAAUCAAGAGGAUUCUUGACGAACAGAUUUCAUGUCCAGGUUGUUAUGUUUUUUUUGGUCGUGGUUGCCAGGUGAACACACAGUUUCGGAAAAUAAACAAUAUUUCCUGUGGAGUUUCCAAAACAAAAUUGUUCAUUUUUUUUAUGUUUAAAUGUAAGGCAUUUGACCACUGCAUGAUGCACAUCGAUGCUGUAACCAAGUCCGAUCUUAGCACAACCUGCUGCACUACACACAUCAGCCGAGGAUGAUUUAUACUAGGUGGAUUAAUUAGCAUGCAGAAAUUAAGUGCAGCACAACGCCAUCAUAUAACUCUCCUGCUUGCACAACAUGCGGUCACCGCACAGUUGCAUACAUCAAGAGAAAAUAAAUACACUGAAAUUUUCGGUGAAAAGUACAUUCUCCAAAAUCAGAAUGGCUUGAGUGUUGGGGUUUUUUUUUUUUUUUUUUUUUUUUUUUUUUAAUCAAAAAUAAUAUUUAUAAUAUAGGGGAAAUUAGCACUUUUUAGCAUAAUAUCUUCAAAAAUGUUCACACUUGCGUAGAUAGAUUGAAAUCAUUCUCAUGGCAGGAUCGGGAAGCUGUCACAAGGUUUAACAGGAAACAUGGCGAGCACAUCACACACGACACUGUUGCCAAACCUAUUAACAAAUUCAAAAAGACUGGAAGUGUUGCAGACCGACCGAGACGUGAACGCCCACGAACAUCCAGUGAUGAAGACACAACCAACGUGGUGCUGGCAGACACAGUCCCCUAUGUAUGGAGACUUUUUGUACACCCUGUGUUUAGUUUCCUUGAUAAACUUUAUAAGCCACACUCACGAGUGGAAACCACAUGGUAUUUUUAAAACAAUUUUUAACCCCCUGUUCACAGGUUUCUCGAUAAGCUGUGUACCUGAAAUUUU